rnacentral:rRNA from 1 species
GACAGAGGGGGCAAGCGUUGCUCGGAAUCACUGGGCGUAAAGGGCGCGUAGGCGGGCUGGCAAGUCAGUCGUGAAAUCUCUCGGCUCAACCGAGAAACGUCGGCUGAUACUGCCGUUCUUGAGGGAUGCAGAGGAGACUGGAAUUCCCGGUGUAGCGGUGAAAUGUGUAGAGAUCGGGAGGAACACCGGUGGCGAAGGCGGGUCUCUGGGCAUUUCCUGACGCUGAGGCGCGAAAGCGUGGGGAGCAAACAGG